rnacentral:rRNA from 1 species
UACGUAGGUGGCAAGCGUUGUCCGGAAUUAUUGGGCGUAAAGCGCGCGCAGGCGGUUCUUUAAGUCUGAUGUGAAAGCCCACGGCUCAACCGUGGAGGGUCAUUGGAAACUUGGGAACUUGAGUGCAGAAGAGGAAAGUGGAAUUCCAUGUGUAGCGGUGAAAUGCGUAGAGAUGUGGAGGAACACCAGUGGCGAAGGCGACUUUCUGGUCUGUAACUGACGCUGAGGCGCGAAAGCGUGGGGAGCGAACAGG